CCCCUUUCCCCGGUCGUCGGCCACUUCCCCGCCUCGCUUGCUGGCCCCCUGAGCCCGACCCUCCUCCCCUGUCCGAGAGGACGGGUACCCUCGGAAGCCUGAGUCGCACUGCAGACCCGUCCAAUGGCCUGAUGGGGCAGGAGAAACUCCCGGCUCCCCCUUGGACCCCCUGGCAGCCUGGGCGUCCCGGCGGCUCCGGGGACCCGCUGGGGCGGGGGACUGCGGCACCCGAGCAUGGCAGGAGCCUCAGUGAGCAGACGGCCGGCCUGGAGCGUGGCCAACACUGGCGCGACCCCUAGGUGGCAGCAAAGGCCCGAGAAAGCGGUACCAGACCGGUGCCUCCCUUCCACCUUAAACACAGAGGAGAGAAACAUCCUCGCACCCCAAGGUGACUUGAACCCUGACUUGCCGCCACAGGAGAAGAGACAAGGCAGAGAGAGGAGAGGCUAACAGGGAGGGGCCAUAGGAAGUGAUGGUUCAGAACACAGAUGCUCUCAUACCUGCCAUCCGGACCAUGUGACUGCGGGAGUCUCCUCACCUCUCUGGGGCUCAAUGUCCUUACCUGUAAUAUUAGGGACAGGAUCGGUACCUGCUUCACAGGACGUUUUGGGGAUUAACUGAUGCUGCGUGGAAAUCACUUAGCACCGUGCCUGGCACGCAGUAAGCGCUCUGUAGUCGCAUUAAUAAACGUAAACAACAUCCCAUGGGCCACCAAGACCAUA